AGUGAACGCUGGCGGUAGGCCUAACACAUGCAAGUCGAACGGCAGCACAGUAAGAGCUUGCUCUUACGGGUGGCGAGUGGCGGACGGGUGAGGAAUACAUCGGAAUCUACUUUUUCGUGGGGGAUAACGUAGGGAAACUUACGCUAAUACCGCAUACGACCUACGGGUGAAAGCAGGGGAUCUUCGGACCUUGCGCGAUUGAAUGAGCCGAUGUCGGAUUAGCUAGGUGGCGGGGUAAAGGCCCACCAAGGCGACGAUCCGUAGCUGGUCUGAGAGGAUGAACAGCCCCACUGGAACCGAGACCCGGUCCCGACUCCUAAGGGAGGCAGCAAUGGGGAAUAUUGGCCAAAGGGGGCAAGCCUGAUCCAGCCAUACCGCGUUGGUGAAGAAGGCCUUCGGGUUGUAAAGCCCUUUUGUUGGGAAAGAAAAGCAGCAGGUUAAUAACCCGCUGUUCUGACGGUACCCAACGAAUAAGCACCGGCUAACUUCGUG
rnacentral:rRNA from 1 species